AACGAACGCUGGCGGCAGGCCUAACACAUGCAAGUCGAGCGGACCUUUCGGGGUCAGCGGCGGACGGGUUAGUAACGCGUGGGAACGUGCCCGAAGGUACGGAAUAGUCCCGGGAAACUGGGGGUAAUACCGUAUGUGCCCUAUGGGGGAAAGAUUUAUCGCCUUCGGAUCGGCCCGCGUUGGAUUAGGUAGUUGGUGGGGUAAUGGCCUACCAAGCCGACGAUCCAUAGCUGGUUUGAGAGGAUGAUCAGCAACACUGGGACUGAGACACGGCCCAGACUCCUACGGGAGGCAGCAGUGGGGAAUCUUAGACAAUGGGGGAAACCCUGAUCUAGCCAUGCCGCGUGAGCGAUGAAGGCCUUUAGGGUUGUAAAGCUCCUUCAGCUGGGAAGAUAAUGACGGUACCAGCAGAAGAAGCCCCGGCUAACUCCGUG
rnacentral:rRNA from 1 species